CGCCCCUCCCUGGGCUCGCGACACCGCCGCCCUUUCUCCCGAUCGCUGGCGUGAAGAGGCGACUAGGGUUCCAAGGAUCUUUGAUUUUCCUUUUCUUGCUGUGAUAGAAGUCUCGAUUGAAGGUAGUUGUCGACAGAAGCUUUAGGGCAAUGAGGUGGAUUUCCAGCAGCCACCUUGUUUAUGGCUGUGAACUUGAGGACCUUGACGCGAGACGAUAUCUCGACGUCAGAUUUGGACCGGAUACGAUCCUUUCU